ACACUCAGCAGGAAAAAUAACAUAACUAUGGAGGUGGUUUUCCAGUGUCUUAUCUAUUGCACUCUGCUGGCCCCUGGAAUUUCUCCAAAUGAAGAGAAUUCAACUGUUUAAUUUGUGGAAGUGGGGGACUGUAUUACAGAAAUUUA
rnacentral:snRNA from 1 species